AAUAGAUACCCCGGUAGUCCACGCCGUAAACGAUGGAUGCUAGCUGUUAUGCGUAUCGACCCGUGUAGUAGCGAAGCUAACGCGUUAAGCAUCCCGCCUGGGGAGUACGAACGCAAGUUUAAAAACUCAAAGGAAUUGACGGGGUACCCGCACAAGCGGUGGAGCGUGUUCUUUAAUUCGAGGCUAAGCGAAGAACCUUACCAGGGCUUGACAUCCUUGGAAUUUCUCCGAAAGGAGAGAGUACUUUAUUGGACCAAGUGACAGGUGCUGCAUGGCCGUCGUCAGCUCGUGUCGUGAGAUGUUUGGUUAAGUCCAUUAACGAGCGCAACCCUUAUGAAUAGUUGUAUUUUUCUAUUCAGACUGCCCCGGUAACGGGGAGAAGGGGGGAUGAUGUCAGGUCAGUAUUGCCCUUACGCCCUGGGCUAGAAACGCGCUACAAUGGCCGGUACAAUGCGCUGCCAACCCGCGAGGGGGAGCAAAUCGCAUCAAAGCCGGUCCCAGUUCGGAUAAGAGGCUGAAACUCGCCUCUUGAAGCCGGAAUCGCUAGUAAUCGU
rnacentral:rRNA from 1 species